CUCCAAUCAACUUCCGGCGCGAAUCCAGCGACAUUAUUCUAUUUCUCAGGGAAUUUAUGGCUCCCUGAGAUUGGCCCGGCCCUAGGAGGAAGCUUGUCUCCGGUGUACUGUAUCUGGAUCUCCAGCCUCCUGGCAGCAAUUCCGAGAGGGGAGAAGUGUGGCUUGGCCCAGGCUGUGCAGAAAAUCCGAAAAUUCGAGCGGAUCUGGCUCCGGACUACAUUUCCCAGACACCCUGGCGGGUAUAGGGCUGACCCUUCACUCGCCUGCGGAACCCUAGGCCUCCGGGGAAGAGGAAGUGCAAGCUCUGCUUUUCUCAGAGAGGUCCCCAGAGGAGAAGGAGGAAUGGCUGUUGACCAAGCCAAAUGCAAGACUAUGCAGAUGGAAACAAGCACCUUUUACCAGAAAUAUAAGCAAUAGGAUGAUAAAAAAAACCCCACAAAGGUAUUCUCAACUCCAUAUGGUAAGAGUAUGUUUGAUUUUGUAAGAAGCUGCCAAACUGUCUUCCAAAGUGGCUGUACCAUUUUGCAUUCUCACCAGCAAUGAAUGAGAGUUCCUGUUGCUCCACAUCCUGGCCAGCAUUUGGUGUUAUAAGUGUUCUGGAUUUUGGCCAUUCUAAUUGGUAUGUAGUGGAGGGGGCUUUUAUUAAGACAUUAAAACAUAUUUUAAAAUUAUAUAGAGAAUGUGGUACUGGCAAAAUAAUAAAGAGGUCA
rnacentral:lncRNA from 1 species